CCUUCGGGGUACACGAGCGGCGAACGGGUGAGUAACACGUGAGCAACCUGCCCCUGACUCUGGGAUAAGCGGUGGAAACGCCGUCUAAUACCGGAUACGACCCUCCAGCUCAUGCUGGUGGGUGGAAAGUUUUAUCGGUCAGGGAUGGGCUCGCGGCCUAUCAGCUUGUUGGUGGGGUAAAGGCCUACCAAGGCGAUUACGGGUAGCCGGCCUGAGAGGGCGACCGGCCACACUGGGACUGAGACACGGCCCAGACUCCUACGGGAGGCAGCAGUGGGGAAUAUUGCACAAUGGGCGAAAGCCUGAUGCAGCGACGCCGCGUGGGGGAUGACGGCCUUCGGGUUGUAAACCUCUUUUACCACCAACGCAGGCUCCACGUUCUCGUGGGGUUGACGGUAGGUGGGGAAUAAGGACCGGCUAACUACGUGCCAGCAGCCGCGGUAAUACGUAGGGUCCGAGCGUUGUCCGGAAUUAUUGGGCGUAAAGAGCUCGUAGGCGGCGUGUCACGUCUGCUGUGAAAGACCGGGGCUUAACUCCGGUUCUGCAGUGGAUACGGGCAUGCUAGAGGUAGGUAGGGGAGACUGGAAUUCCUGGUGUAGCGGUGAAAUGCGCAGAUAUCAGGAGGAACACCGGUGGCGAAGGCGGGUCUCUGGGCCUUACCUGACGCUGAGGAGCGAAAGCAUGGGGAGCGAACAGGAUUAGAUACCCUGGUAGUCCAUGCCGUAAACGUUGGGCGCUAGG
rnacentral:rRNA from 1 species